rnacentral:lncRNA from 1 species
AAAAACAUACAAUAGAUUGAAUUAUAAAAUCAAACCAGACUUGUAUAUUCAAUAUAUAGGUGAUACUAAUUCUGAAAAUAUAUCAUUACUAGUUACAUCAACCUUAUCAAACGGUGCGUACACCCUAAUUUCGUACAUAUAUCUCUCUCAGGCUCCUUCACAUCACAUAUGCUUCACUAUCAUCAUCGCAUUGAUUUUCAAUGGGUAGUCUUGGAUCUUCCGAAAACACAAAGAUGAAAGUCUUGGAUCCAUAUAAACAAACCAUAAAAAAAAGUUUUGAGGGUUUACAUAGGAAGUAAGCAAAAACACAUAUGACUUAUAAAGAAGAGAAAAAUACUUAGAAUGCGAUAAAGUAAAUUAUACAUAUAUGAAAAAUAGACAUCUCUAUGGAUUCAUUUUCUUGCGACAAAGACGUGAAAAUAAAAACCGUUUAAUCUUUAACCGAAUCUCUUAAACUAUAGAUAAAAUAUAAAAGGUACUUGAGCAAUAUACCUAAAGUUGUGUGAAGCUUUCUGAUUUCGGAAGAUAAGAGUCUAUGGAAAAUUAAGGAGAUGAUGAUAAUGAAGUAUAUGCCAUGUGAAAGAACUAUCUUCU